rnacentral:misc_RNA from 1 species
UCAAACUUGGUCAUUUAGAGGAAGUAAAAGUCGUAACAAGGUCAUCGUAGGUGAACCUGCGGUGGGAUCAUCAAUAGAACCAAAAUCCGGCGACGCAGGGGUCUCCCCCUGCACAAUCGCCACAUUUUGUGAACUUUCGCGGCCUUGCUGGCCCGGUGCGCUGUGCUUCUUCGGAGGUGCGGCGUCCGGGAUGGCAAGCUGCAACUUUGUGUUGCUGCCGGUCUCUGUGCUGGCGGCAAUUUUCAAACAAACUCAACUUUUUUAUACAACGUCAAUUGCUGAAACCUGACCAUUUGCUUGGUCGAAUAGUUAACACAACUAUCAAUGGUGGAUCACUUGGCUCUUGCAUCGAUGAAGAACGCAGC